GAUGAACGCUGACAGAAUGCUUAACACAUGCAAGUCAUUGGCGAAGCUGCGCUUGCGCAGUCUAGCCAAGGCGGACGGGUGAGUAACGCGUAAGGAACUUGCCCUGCAGACAGGGAUAACAGACGGAAACGACUGAUAACACCUGGUAUUGUCAGGCUGGCGCAUGCCGGCCUGAUGAAAGGAGACGCUGCAGGAGAGCCUUGCGUCCUAUUAGCUAGUUGGUGGGGUAACGGCCCACCAAGGCGAUGAUAGGUAGCCGGCCUGAGAGGGUGAACGGCCACAAGGGGACUGAGAUACGGCCCUGACUCCUACGGGAGGCAGCAGUGGGGAAUGUUGGACAAUGGGGGCAACCCUGAUCCAGCAAUUCUGUGUGCACGAAGAAGGUUUUCGGAUUGUAAAGUGCUUUCAGCAGGGAAGAAGAAAGUGACGGUACCUGCAGAAGAAGCGACGGCUAAAUACGUG
rnacentral:rRNA from 1 species